UUUCCGUAGGUGAACCUGCGGAAGGAUCAUUAUUGAAAAAGACAAGACGCCCCGUUUUUUCGUAAAAUGGGUUCAAUACCCACAACCGUGUAUACCUUACCUUUUGUUGCUCUGGCAGGCCGCCUCCGGGCGUUGGCUUCGGCUGACAGCGCCUGCCAGGGGACCCAAACUCUGUGUUUAGUGAUGUCUGAGUAAUAUAUAAUAUUUUAAAACUUUCAACAACGGAUCUCUUGGUUCUG
rnacentral:misc_RNA from 1 species